GGAGAGAUGGCUCAGCGGUUGAGAACCCUGACUGUUCUUUCAGAGGUCCUGAGUUCAAUUCCCAGCAACUACA
rnacentral:tRNA from 1 species